AAGGAUCAUUAUCAAAAGUCAAGUCGGGGGCUGUAAAGCUCUCGUCUACACCCCAUGUCUUUUGCGUACUCUUGUUUCCUCGGUGGCGCAAGCUGCCGAUUGGACAAACCAAAACCUUUUUUGUAAUUGCAAUCAGCGUCUGAAAAUAAUCUAAUUAUUUACAACUUUCAACAACGGAUCUCUUGGUUCUG
rnacentral:misc_RNA from 1 species